rnacentral:rRNA from 1 species
UACGUAGGGCGCAAGCGUUGUCCGGAAUUAUUGGGCGUAAAGAGCUCGUAGGCGGUUUGUCGCGUCUGUCGUGAAAGCUUGGGGCUUAACCCCAAGUCUGCGGUGGAUACGGGCAGACUAGAGGCAGGUAGGGGAGAACGGAAUUCCCGGUGUAGCGGUGAAAUGCGCAGAUAUCGGGAGGAGCACCGGUGGCGAAGGCGGUUCUCUGGGCCUGUACUGACGCUGAGGAGCGAAAGCGUGGGGAGCGAACAGG